rnacentral:rRNA from 1 species
UACGUAGGGUCCGAGCGUUAAUCGGAAUUACUGGGCGUAAAGCGUGCGCAGGCGGUUCGCAAAGACAGGUGUGAAAUCCCCGGGCUUAACCUGGGAACUGCGCUUGUAACUAGCGGGCUAGAGUGCGGCAGAGGGGGGUGGAAUUCCACGUGUAGCAGUGAAAUGCGUAGAGAUCGGGAGGAACAUCUGUGGCGAAGGCGGCCACCUGGACCAGCACUGACACUGAGGCACGAAAGCGUGGGGAGCAAACAGG